rnacentral:rRNA from 1 species
GAUGAACGCUGGCGGCGUGCCUAAUACAUGCAAGUCGAGCGAACGGACGAGAAGCUUGCUUCUCUGAUGUUAGCGGCGGACGGGUGAGUAACACGUGGAUAACCUACCUAUAAGACUGGGAUAACUUCGGGAAACCGGAGCUAAUACCGGAUAAUAUUUUGAACCGCAUGGUUCAAAAGUGAAAGACGGUCUUGCUGUCACUUAUAGAUGGAUCCGCGCUGCAUUAGCUAGUUGGUAAGGUAACGGCUUACCAAGGCAACGAUGCAUAGCCGACCUGAGAGGUGGAUCGGCCACACUGGAACUGAGACACGGUCCAGACUCCUACGGGAGGCAGCAGUAGGGAAUCUUCCGCAAUGGGCGAAAGCCUGACGGAGAAACGCCGCGUGAGUGAUGAAGGUCUUCGGAUCGUAAAACUCUGUUAUUAGGGAAGAACAUAUGUGUAAGUAACUGUGCACAUCUUGACGGUACCUAAUCAGAAAGCCACGGCUAACUACGUG